rnacentral:lncRNA from 1 species
AUCUCGUACAGAACAAGUCACAUAUUUUUUUGGGCUGGUUAUUGACAGAAAUCUCUUCUGGACCCCUCAUGUGAAUUAUGUGAGAAAACGUCUGACGGGAAUUUGCCAUAUGUUUAAGUUUUGAGCAGGAAAGACAGGG